rnacentral:rRNA from 1 species
AGUGAACGCUGGCGGCGUGCUUAACACAUGCAAGUCGAACGAGAACGGGUUAUAGCUUGCUAUAAUUGUCAGCUAAGUGGCGCACGGGUGAGUAAUGUAUAGGUAAUAUGCCUCUUACUAAGGGGUAACAAAUGGAAACGUUUGCUAAUACCUUAUACUCCUUAUUAACAUAAGUUAAUAAGGGAAAGAUUUAUUGGUAAGAGAUUAGCCUGUAUUGUAUCAGUUAGUUGGUGGGGUAAUGGCUUACCAAGACUAUGACACAUAACUGGUUUGAGAGGAUGAUCAGUCACACUGGAACUGAGACACGGUCCAGACUCCUACGGGAGGCAGCAGUGGGGAAUAUUGCACAAUGGACGAAAGUCUGAUGCAGCAACGCCGCGUGGAGGAUGACACGUUUCGGUGCGUAAACUCCUUUUAUAUGAGAAGAUAAUGACGGUAUUAUAUGAAUAAGCACCGGCUAACUCCGUGCCAGCAGCCGCCGCCG